rnacentral:rRNA from 1 species
AUUGAACGCUGGCGGAAUGCUUUACACAUGCAAGUCGAAUGGCAGCACGGACUUUGGUCUGGUGGCGAGUGGCGAACGGGUGAGUAAUAUAUCGGAACGUGCCCAGUCGUGGGGGAUAACGUAGCGAAAGUUACGCUAAUACCGCAUACGAUCUAUGGAUGAAAGCGGGGGAUCGCAAGACCUCGCGCGAUUGGAGCGGCCGAUAUCAGAUUAGGUAGUUGGUGGGGUAAAGGCUCACCAAGCCAACGAUCUGUAGCUGGUCUGAGAGGACGACCAGCCACACUGGAACUGAGACACGGUCCAGACUCCUACGGGAGGCAGCAGUGGGGAAUUUUGGACAAUGGACGCAAGUCUGAUCCAGCCAUUCCGCGUGCAGGAUGAAGGCCCUCGGGUUGUAAACUGCUUUUGUACGGAACGAAAAGGUCUCCAUUAAUACUGGGGGCUCAUGACGGUACCGUAAGAAUAAGCACCGGCUAACUACGUGCCAGCCGCCGCUGUAA